CUCUUCCCCAGUCUUUUUGGAUCUCUCCUCUUUCAGUCGGUGUUUAGGUGCCGAUUUAUCUAGCUCCAUCUUUGCUGCUGCAGCUCGAGUCCCAGAAAGUCCCUGUGAUGCAACUUUGGCGAAACUUCCACCAGGGUCCCAACUGGUAGACAGUGCGCACAUGCAUGGUUACACACUUUAACUGGAAUCACCAAUUACCUUCCCAGGUCCUCGGCAAAUCUCUAUCAGAGACUGCUGACGGACCCAUGACUCAUCCACCCUAGAAGACAAAUUCUAAUGACGUUCUGCUGUUCAGUCAAGAAGGACACAGAAUUCCAAAAUCGAUGCUAAGGGACAAAAUUCAACUUAAUAGAGUGCAGUCUGGUUAAAAACCUGAAAAAU